AUUGAACGCUGGCGGCAGGCCUAACACAUGCAAGUCGAACGGUAACAGGAAGCAGCUUGCUGCUUUGCUGACGAGUGGCGGACGGGUGAGUAAUGUCUGGGAAACUGCCUGAUGGAGGGGGAUAACUACUGGAAACGGUAGCUAAUACCGCAUAAUGUCGCAAGACCAAAGAGGGGGACCUUCGGGCCUCUUGCCAUCGGAUGUGCCCAGAUGGGAUUAGCUAGUAGGUGGGGUAAAGGCUCACCUAGGCGACGAUCCCUAGCUGGUCUGAGAGGAUGACCAGCCACACUGGAACUGAGACACGGUCCAGACUCCUACGGGAGGCAGCAGUGGGGAAUAUUGCACAAUGGGCGCAAGCCUGAUGCAGCCAUGCCGCGUGUAUGAAGAAGGCCUUCGGGUUGUAAAGUACUUUCAGCGGGGAGGAAGGGAGUAAAGUUAAUACCUUUGCUCAUUGACGUUACCCGCAGAAGAAGCACCGGCUAACUCCGU
rnacentral:rRNA from 1 species